GUGGUCCUGUCCAUGGCAUGGAGCGUGGUGAUGGAGGUACUCAUGUCCCCAAGCUCCGUGGUGGCACCUGGUCCCUGCGUCCCCUCCAUGAAGACACCUUCAUCGGUGGCCACCGUGUCCAUGUCCCCUCCGUAGACCACGGUGACAUGUCCCACCGUGGUCCCAUCCGUGGUCACGGGGGUCCCCGUGUCCCCGGGCACCGUGGUGGCACCAGGAUCCUUCAUCUUCUCCACGAAGGUGUCUCCAGCAUUGGCCACCAUGUCCAAGUCCUCUCCAUAGACCGUGGUGACGAGGAUCCCUGUGUCCUCUGGCACCGUGGUGGCACAAGGAACCCCCGUCCCCUCCAUGAAGACUCCUCCAUCACCGGCCACUGCGUCCCUGGACUUGUCCCC
ensembl:lncRNA